rnacentral:tRNA from 1 species
CGGGGCGUAGCGCAGUUCGGUAGCGCGCACGGUUCGGGACCGUGAGGCCGGAGGUUCAAACCCUCUCGCCCCGACCA